rnacentral:lncRNA from 1 species
CUACUUUCUUAGAAAAUUCGAUUAUAUAUAUAUAUAUAUAUAUUCCAACAACAUGCACAAUGGAUUGAUCUUGCAAAAAACAUAUUUUGUUGUUGAAGAAAUGAAUAGCACUCAGCUCUCAUGCAUCUUCCAUAUAUCUUCUUUCUUAUGAUAAUUAAGGAGAUCUCUUACAAUAAAAUAAGAUCAUUUGAAAUGAUGUAUGGUGAAAGCAACAACCCUCUUUUCAAUUUUUUUGGAUUUAGUUUUCCCGAUGUUAACAUGUGCUUCUCCACUGACCAGUCACUACACAAAAGGCCUACUACUGCUAGGAAACCUUGCCAGCACUUUCAUCAUGAGUACAAAGCAAAAGAAGCUAGCUUCUUGCAAAAGACACCCCCAGCCAAGUGAAAAUAAAUUCAGAAAAGAUUUUGUAUCAAUAAUCACCUGAAGCCAGGAGUAAUAAUAUUGUUUUUGUAUCAAUAAUCACCUGAAGCCAGGAGUAAUAAUAUUGUUAUCUGAUCCCCUCCCUCCCUCCCUCCCUCCCGUGUUGUAGGUUUAUGCAACAUAACUAAAAUCUGCCAACGGAAACUGCAACUCUCUCUCUCUCUCUGGUCCGUGUAUGAAGGUUUCUUAACAUGGGCUCUGAGAUCAGCAUCCAGAAACUCUCUGCACCAUAUUUAUUGUUUCCUUUCAGGCACCAAACCCUAUGCAUUCUGACUCUUACCUCUCAUUGACUAGCCUCAUUUUCAGAGGCUCAAACUUCUAAAAGUAACCCAGCGGAGACACACACUGGGAAAAAAAACCGUACCCAAAAAGAGCCAAAACAAAGAAAGCAAAAACUCUUUAGUCUCCCAUUCCAAACUACAACCUUUCUUCUACUUUUGUUGAGCUUCCUUUUAAAGGGCCUUUUAAAUCAGAUCCAAGAAGGAAAUUCCUCCCUCCUUUUCCGUUCCUUUUUGGAGGGUUUUGGGCCAAGAAUUCUAUGCAUGGUCUGAGAUACAUAUAAGUAUAGAAGGAGGCAGCUGAUGGGUUUAAGAAAAGAGUUGGCUUGCCUAGCGCUAUUGUUCCUGAUACUUCUGCUGUUAGAAACUUCAUCUGUUCCUGAUAGGUCAGCCAGGCACGGAAGCUUCAAGAACACUGGGUCUACAGCUCAGUUAACGGGUCCUGUUAAAUCUCAUGGUGGUGGCCUAAGAGGAGACAGAGAUGAAGAAGGUGAUGCAACUUUGGGUGAUGAGAAGAGGAAAGUCUAUACAGGUCCCAAUCCUUUACACAAUAGGUAAUACUUAGCUAGUGAAAGCGUGCUUAAUCUUCAUAUAUAUAUGUAUGAAGCCAUGUGGUUUUCUAAUUUUUGAAGCUUUUUUUGUUUGCUAAGUAAUGAUCAUAUUAAUUAAUGAUUGGCUUUAUGUUGUCCACGUAUAUAUUCACGUAUAUAUUGAGCUGUAUCAAGCAGUGUUUAAAUGCAUAUAUAAGUUUUAGAUUUCUGCAAAAAUCCAAUGCCUUUACUAAUUGAUUAAUUUGGAAUGUA